rnacentral:rRNA from 1 species
UACGUAGGGACCAAGCGUUGUUCGGAUUUACUGGGCGUAAAGGGCGCGUAGGCGGCGUGACAAGUCACUUGUGAAAUCUCCGGGCUUAACUCGGAACGGCCAAGUGAAACUGUCAUGCUAGAGUGCAGAAGGGGCAAUCGGAAUUCUUGGUGUAGCGGUGAAAUGCGUAGAUAUCAAGAGGAACACCUGAGGUGAAGACGGGUUGCCGGGCUGACACUGACGCUGAGGCGCGAAAGCCAGGGGAGCAAACGGG